GUGUGUGGGUCUCUUUUUAUUCUUCUCACAAGAGUAUAUGGACUAAUCUUGGCCUGCAUGACAACAGCUGAAUCUCUCAUUGCAUUUUAGUUCUUUUCCUAUAAGUGUACACUAAAGUCUUUGCCAUAUUUGAUCUCUUUAUACAUGAACACAUACAUCACUGUCCAGAUUUGAUGUAUUUGAUUAUCAUCAUAUGGUCAUGUUGGGUGGCUCUCUGUCCAGCAGGUGGCGCCCUCGCAACGUGAAUUAUCAUGCAGUUAAACUCUGUGAUAAAACAUUCCAGCAACGUUUGGCAUGAAAUUAGCUCCAUUGUACAAACAUCCGGAAGAAGAUGCAGACUUGAUUGCUGUCACCUGAGAAUAAUUGUUUAAAUAGGAGGUUCGCUGCUGGAUUCCUCGCAUUCUUCCUGCUCUGUUUCGGUGGCUAAAAGCUUGAACGCUGCUCGUUUGACCUGUUCAGGUCCAUGCCUCGCUCGGGACGCCAGCAUUCUUCACCGAUGCACAUUUGAGUUUAAGUUUAUGUCUUCUGUUACACUAAACACUUGCACUCAUACACAUCAUACAUCCACCUGUGCACGUGCCUGAUCCUAGGAAGGAUUGCAGAGAUGCUGCAUCAGAUGGAGGUGGAGCUUCACGGACAGCAUCUAGGUGCUCUUGAUCAGCCCAGACUCUUUCAAUUUCUGCAACACAGUACUGAGGUUCAAGUCAUGCUCCUCAGAUGUCUUUCCAUAGACGAUAACAUCAUCCAGGUAAUUUUUGACACCUGGUACGCCCUCCAAGGAUGCCAGGCCAUAGAGAACCCUGCAAUAUCUGAACAGGCCAAAAGCUGUAAUAAAACAAAUUUUACACACAUCCCAUUUCAGUAUCUGUCAGGGAUGUGGUAUUGGUGGCCAUGACCGAGGAGCAAACAUUAUCACCUUUUAUUUGAAGUUUUAGGGCAGAAAUCAAGUCAAUGCCUAACAAAGCAGUCCCUUUAUCUAAGCCCCUUCUUCUCCCCUUCUGUUGUACCCACUUCUCCUUCUUACAAUACAACGUCCCUAGAGGUAGCAUUAGGAAUUACAGUACAUGACACAACACAUUCCCUAUUUGCUAAAUCGUGCACACUAUUUAUAAAUUGAGUGAACGAAAUAGUAAAUCGAGGGAAUGCAAUAGUAAUCGUGUGCACGUUUUAGUACAAUGAGGGAACUAAUUAGUAAAUCGUGCACAUGAUUUAGCCUAACAAUUUUUUCCUGCAUGUCAUGUGCGGGUCUCCAUAGAUUUUCAACACUUUUAAGCAUUACAGAAAUACCUCAAGUGUAAUUUAUUUUUAUUGAACACUUCACUGACACUUUUAUAAAUUAUACAUAUAACUAAGCAGACUUGUUUAUCUGAAUGUAUGAUGUCUUUAGAUCAAAUAUCAUUAUUUCAAGAUAAGAUAUUGCGCAUUUACAUUUUCAGAAUAAUUUGAUGAUUUCACUUCAAGUCGAAGCUUUGGUUAUGAUGGUUACCUCUUCUGAAAACUAUAUCUGUGUAUUUUUCAGUUUAAUUGCAUAUUUCCUUGUGAUCAUCUGUAAGUAAAUCUGUAAAUGCUGAGUUGUUAUUCAUAAAGAGUAGCAGCAUUUGCUCCACCCCGAAGCCUUGUUCGUUUACAGGAUCUCCAGAGAAACCAGUGAUGAAUGUGUGACGUGAGAAUCAUCCAGAUGUUUCAUGGGAAUUAUUUUUCUAAAUUUGAUAACAUGAGAUUCUGAAGGAUUUUUAGAAGUAGCCUAACAAUAGCAAAUGUAGCCGUACUGAGCAUGACAUUAUACCUCUUUAAAGGACUUCAGGCCUUGAUCUUCAGCGCUAGUAAACACAGUAAAGGUAAUGUGGAUUAUUUACACUUCAGACUUUUCUAUUAUGCUAAUAAUAGUGUUUUACUUUGUUUACCAUCUGUUUAUCUCUCAGGCAGUGAUGGGAAUAACGGCGUUACUAACGGCAUUACUUUUUCCAGUAACGAGUA